CUGCAGCCCGAGUGGUGAUCGAUUUUAUUGAGCCUAAAGCGUCCGUAGCCGGACUAGUAAACCCUUGGGUAAAUUGGGCAGCUUAACUGUCCAAAUUCCGAGGGGACUGCUAGUCUUGGGACCGGGAGAGGUCAGAGGUACUCAAGGGGUAGGGGCUAAAUCCUGUAAUCCUUUGGGGACCACCAGUGGCGAAGGCGUCUGACUAGAACGGAUCCGACGGUAAGGGACGAAACCCUGGGGCGCGAUCCGGAUUAGAGACCCGAGUAGUCC
rnacentral:rRNA from 1 species